rnacentral:sRNA from 1 species
GCUGGGCAUGGUGGUACAUGCCUGUAAUCCCAGCCACUUGAAAGGCUGAGGCAGGAGGAUCACAAGUUCAAUGCCAGAUUGAACAAUUUAACAAGAUCUUCAGAAACUUAGUGAAAUUCUGUCUCAA